CCCACCUCACCCCCCCCCCAUUUUUUACCAGGUUUUCCGAAGGAAAAAACUGGUUAUUAGAUUGGCGAAUGCGGGCGGGCUGGCUGGCUGGCUGGCGGGCUGGCGGAAUAAGCUUGUCCGGGCCAUAACUAUGUCGUUCAUUGUCAGAAUUUAAAAUCAUUUGGCACAUUUGUUCAUCAUCAUUGGACGGUGUGUCGCGCGAAAUAAUUACGUCGAUAUCUCCAAGGUCAAGGUCACACUUUGAGUUCAAAGGUCAAAAAUGGCCAUAAAUGAGCUUGUCCUGGCCAUAACUAUGUCAUUCAUUGUGAGAUUUUAAAAUCAUUUGGCACAUUUGUUCACCAUCAUGGGACGGUGUGUCCCACGAAAGAAUCACGUCAAUAUCUCCAAUGUCAAGGUCGCCACGACUAAAAAUAGAUUUAAAAAAAAAAAAAAACUUACAAAGGGGGUUAAUUUUUUUUGGUCAUUUCAAAAGUUCAGUUUGAGUUUUCUCCCUUUAUCAGAUUUUUUUUUCACAAUGAAAACCUGGUUUUGUGACAAUUUUGUCCCUUGUUUUUUUAUGAAACGGUUAAAAAACACAAAUAUUUAUUUUUAUUAUUUUAUGUUUGAAAUACCGUCCAACCAUCGCACCCAAGAAUCCCCCCCCCCCCACCCCCCCCCCCCCCUCCGAUUUUUUUUUUCCUUUUUUUGGCAUUUUUGGAAGAAAAUGUAAUAAAUGUCCACACCCCCACACAAUGCACCGCUCUUCACUCCACCCCUCCCUCCUUUGUGAUUGAAAAUGAGAGUCCCUUCACCUUUAAAAAGAAAAUAGAUGAGCGGUCUGCACCCGCAAGGCGGUGCUCUUGUUUUUAUGCUAGUAUACUCCCCCUUUACGAAAUAACACGUUUUACUGGAAUUGCCAAGGAAAUUGAUCUGUCUGUUGGUAGACACAAUUCUGUCUAUAGGUGUUCCCCCACACCUUUCUUUGUACAUAAUUCAAACUUUAAGGAAUUGUUCCUCAUGAUGCAAAGUCGGGUAUGUGUUAUUGUUAUGGUCCUUCAUUAGACAUAACAAACUAUUUGUCCUUUUUUCAACGACUUUGUCUAGACAUUUUGUGGUAGGAAAUUAAGUAAUCAUUUUGUCAAUCUUUUGUGAAACUUUCUAAAGACUUUUCUCCUUUCUAAGAUAUCCAUGAAGUCAGGUAUAUUACAAUAUAACUUUCCACAAAUGUUAACUAAUACGGUACGAUCUGUUGCAUGUAAGAAAUGCAUGGCUGUCGGGAGAGGAAACACAUGGCUUUCGUGAAGGUUUCAUAUGAUGUGGUCAGUAGUUAAAAAACCCAUCUUUUUAUGCCCCAGUUAGGGUGGCAUAUAGCAGUUGAACUGUCUGUCUGUCAGUCUGUGCGUCCGUCCGAAAACUUUAAGAUUGGCCAUAACAUUUUGAGUGGUGAAGGUCAAGGCCAUCCUUCAAGGUCAAAAGUAAUAAAAUACUAUCAAAGGGAAAUAAUAAGCUUUAAAAGGGAGAUAAUUUCUAAACCUUCCAAAUGAUAUAUUGAAACUUUAUUUCAAAGCGGCGCAAUAGGGGGCAUUGUGUUUCUGAUAAACACAUCUCUUGUUCUAGUAAAAAUGGGCUUUGUCAUACCCAUUGACUUUCUUUGAAGGGUUUUUAAAAUGGGAUCCCUACAUUGAAGUUUGAUUCCUUUUAAUGUCAAGGUCAUUCUCGGAAGUCAAAGGUCAGAAUGCAGACCUUAAUGUCAAAGCUUUUAAUUGGUGCUGAUCGGGUAUGUGGGGGUAUUAAUGACAUUUAUGUAAAGUUGAUUAUUACUUUCAUAACAACGGACAUUUAAGGUGAACAUUGUCUUUAAAAAAACAUGUGUUUUACGUAUAUAUUCCCCAACAUACUGGUAACAUGGAUACCAAUCGAAAUUUGAAACAACCUGUCAGAAUAUUUUGUAUCCAUAUUUUAUAUCAAAAUGUCUUAUUUGUAAUAUACCCUAUUUGGUAAAUUUGUUAAAGAAACUUACUGAUGUUACAGUUUUUCAAGUGUUAUUUUUAAUAAAGAUGUAAAUAUCUUUA